CACGGGGGGAGCAAGCGUUGUUCGGAAUCACUGGGCGUAAAGGGCGUGCAGGCGGUCAGGUAAGUGGGAUGUGAAAUGCCCCGGCUCACCCGGGGACCGGCAUCUCAUACUGCUUGGCUUGAGUACGGGAGAGGAUGUGGGAAUUCCUGGUGUAGCGGUGAAAUGCGUAGAUAUCUGGAGGAACACCGGUGGCGAAGGCAGCUCGCUGGGACGUUACUGACGCUGAGACGCGAAAGCGUGGGGAGCAAACAGG
rnacentral:rRNA from 1 species